AUGCAGAUGAUGAUUGUCGUGGCCUCAACGCUAUGGAACUUCAAUGUGCAUCUGGUGAAAGGGCAAAGCAUCGAGCCCAAGGCAUGUUGUAUACUAGAGAUGAAAAAUGGGAUUAUAGUUAAGCUGAAGAAGCGAGAAGUGUAA
rnacentral:rRNA from 1 species